GGGCGUAUAGCUCAGUGGUAGAGCACUGUAUUGACAUUGCAGGGGUCGGGAGUUCAACUCUCUCUACGCCCACCA
rnacentral:tRNA from 4 species